rnacentral:rRNA from 1 species
AGUGAACGCUGGCGGUAGGCCUAACACAUGCAAGUCGAACGGCAGCACAGUAAGAGCUUGCUCUUACGGGUGGCGAGUGGCGGACGGGUGAGGAAUACAUCGGAAUCUACUUUUUCGUGGGGGAUAACGUAGGGAAACUUACGCUAAUACCGCAUACGACCUACGGGUGAAAGCAGGGGAUCUUCGGACCUUGCGCGAUUGAAUGAGCCGAUGUCGGAUUAGCUAGUUGGCGGGGUAAAGGCCCACCAAGGCGACGAUCCGUAGCUGGUCUGAGAGGAUGAUCAGCCACACUGGAACUGAGACACGGUCCAGACUCCUACGGGAGGCAGCAGUGGGGAAUAUUGGACAAUGGGCGCAAGCCUGAUCCAGCCAUAAUGCGUGGGUGAAGAAGGCCUUCGGGUUGUAAAGCCCUCUUGUUGGGAAAGAAAAGCAGCAGGUUAAUACCCCGCUGUUCUGACGGUACCCAAAGAAUAAGCACCGGCUAACUUCGUG